GAUGAAGAACGUAGCGAAAUGCGAUACUUGGUGUGAAUUGCAGAAUCCCGUGAACCAUCGAGUCUUUGAACGCAAGUUGCGCCCGAAGCCAUCAGGUUGAGGGCACGUCUGCCUGGGCGUCACAUAUCGUUGCCCAAUGCCUAUUGCAGUGCAAUAGGAAUUUCUAGGGCGAAUGAUGGCUUCCCGUGAGCGUUGUUGCCUCGCGGUUGGUUGAAAAUCGAGUCCUUGGUAGGGUGUGCCAUGGUAGAUGGUGGUCGAGGUAGAACGAUACCGAUCAUGUGCAUGCUCCCCAAAAUAUGGCCUCUAUGACCCACACGCGUCUUUUGACGCUCAUGACGAGACCUCAGGUCAGGCGGGGCUACCCGCUGAAUUUAAGCAUAUCAUAAGCGGAGGA
rnacentral:misc_RNA from 1 species